AUGUGUAGGAUAUAUACAAAGAUACAUACUUGAAAGUCCGUAGAGGAAACAAAUUUUUACGCCUUCUGUUUGACUGUUUGUCAUAUAUUUGGUUUUAUUUCCCAGGGAUCAGUGAAUUUUAACUCUGGAGUCCUCUAUGCUAAGGAUGCUCAGCUUACAGAUGAUGAAAUGUUCAGUAAUGUAUUUGCUGGAGCUGUGCUUACCCAAGGUUUGGGUAAAACAAGCUUUGGGUUCCUUCUGUCUCACUGGGAGUUGCCCAAUUCAGUUGCAUCUGGUGAAAUUCACCCUGAGACCUUACAGAACUAGCUCCAACUACGUGAGAGCCAUUUGCAGUUCUCUCCAGACACCUGGAGAAUGGGCGACGUUUCUGAGGAUCCGGCGAGCAUGCUUCUGUCAAAACUCAGUCUGUGAAAUUUCUGGGGAAAACACUUCUGUGUCCUGAAGGGUUCAAACUCUGGUGAGGAUCCAGUUAUCAGGUGCUCACCUGGAUGGUUCCAGCUCCCAAAGGGAAAGGCUCUCGUAUCCUUGUCGUCGGGCUCGGUGCUGUCCAAGAAGAUACAGAGACUAAAAAAAUCAUAAGAAGCAAAAUAUGACUGCAGGGAAAAGAAGCUGGAGAGAACAGAAGGGGCUGUUUCCAAAGUGACCUACAGACAUUGGAAUGAAAUCAUUAUUUACUGUGUAAAAGAAUCACUCUCCAAAGCAUCAGCCAGGGUCUAAAUGUGCCAUUCUGCCUUUUAAAAGUACCAACAUCACAGGAUUUUUCUCAGAUUAAAGCUUCCAUGGAGUCGGAUCUCUCAAGCCUGGCCCUUGAGAAUUGUGGGCCUCCUGUGAACUGGUCUUGCCAGAAGGGCUUGCUGAGUUUUCCAUUGUGUGGAAAAGAGAUCCCAUUUGCAGCCUGAAGCCUCAUGUUUCCUGUAGGAUUUCCACUCCUAGAAUUGCACACUUUGAAGGAUUUCUUAUAGCAGAAGUUUUUUGGGAACUAGGACUCUGGCUGGAUUUGGGUCUCUGGACUCUCAGGUGAAGUGACCUUGAGACACUAGGGCGUGCAGAUUUCCUUGCUGUUGUAAAGAGCUAUUGUUCGCACCCAGGAGCCAUGGUCUGAAUGGGGGUGUCACCUCUUAAAUUUGCAAAUGUCACAGGAUUUCUUCUAAAUGAAUGGUGCUAAGAACAUAA